GUCAGGAUGGCCGAGUGGUCUAAGGCGCCAGACUUAAGAUUUGGAGUUGUGGGUUCGAACCCCACUUCUGGCA